UGCCGAGCUGUGGAGUCUCUCCCUCAUUUGGGAAAUGACAGAGAGCCACUGUUAUUCUGAAGGAGCGACAGGGUCAGAGCUUGCUCCUGCUGAGGAAGUUAUUCACAGAAGACAGAUACUGCUUCAUACAGGACGGAUCAGAGGACAAAUCCUAAAUUACCCACCCACGGAGGGGGCCAGGGUCACACAGAGACCGAGAAAAGAUUGAAGGAGAAAGACAGGCAGAUCUCCCUAAAUCUGCCCAGGAGCACAGAAUCCAGAGACUCAGGGCUCCAGGUCAUUGCUGGUCCUGUCCUGUUGGGAGAAUUUCUGCUGUUUAG